GUAGUCCACGCCGUAAACGAUGGAUACUAGAUGUCGGGAGUUCUUACCCUCUCGGUGUCGCAGCUAACGCAUUAAGUAUCCCGCCUGGGAAGUACGGCCGCAAGGUUAAAACUCAAAGAAAUUGACGGGGGCCCGCACAAGCGGUGGAGUAUGUGGUUUAAUUCGAUGCAACGCGAACAACCUUACCUGGGCUUGACAUCUGGUGCUAUCCGGUGAAAGUCGGAGUUCCUUUACGGGACGCCAAGACAGGUGCUGCAUGGCUGUCGUCAGCUCGUGUCGUGAGAUGUUGGGUUAAGUCCCGCAACGAGCGCAACCCUUGCCUUUAGUUGCCAGCAUUAAGUUGGGCACUCUAGAGGGACCGCUUGCCGAUAAGGCAGA
rnacentral:rRNA from 1 species